ACAGGUAGAGGUACCUAUGGAGCCAGAAUGAGCCUUCUGUAUUGAAACACACUCCACCCAGUGAACAGGUGCAGGGCACCAACCUGCCCAUUACACUCACACCUGCUACAGGCUCGACUCGACUCCAGUCAAGUCAGAAGGAGUCAGAGCCGUAAGCCCCGAGGCUAAAAGAAAAUGGAAAGUUGAAACCUGCUAAAUAAUUUCUUGGCCAACUAGGGCCCAAAAUCCAACAGUGUGACCAACUGGUUUUUUAUUUCAGCGAGACAUAAAAUCACAAAACGAUGACUGUUGUGGUAGUGGGAACGGGGCAGGACCCAGUAAAGAUGUCUGGAGACCGGAGAGUAGCUUCAAAGAAUUCUUUAUUUCAUGCAUGGAGAGAAGUCGUACACAGCUUUGCAGUUGCACAGAGUUCUCCGAUGAACUGAUAAAGGGGCAGUCCCUUUAUACCAAAGUGAUACAAUACACAUCUAUGAAACUCGUACCAUUAUCUCACAUCUAUGAAACUCGUACCAUUAUCUCACAUCUAACAACUCGCAUCCCUUCUCCAGCUGCCUUUGCAACAUCAUAAGUACAACGAGGCCUUGAAACUUGGUGUGCUGUUACUGUGGUUACCUGACCUCCAUGUAGAGGAAGCAGCUGGAGGGAGAUGACGGCGCUGUCCUCAUUUCAGUCAGAAGGCAGGUGACAGGUGAAAGGACGACCCAACACAGAGUCCCAGUGAGGUGCUGGGCUGCCACGGGCCACCAGAACAGCUCCACCUUGGCACUGACUCUCCAAGUCUCUGAACUCACAGCAUCUGGUUCAUAUCAUGGUCAUCCUGCUCAGACCAGUCAGUGGCCCCUGGUGUCCUGUGGAUGUGGGACACUGUUGUCCUGGAGGAGACCACUCCCACACUGUAGAAUUGUUUGUAUCUUGUUUGAAUCUUGUUGGACCACACAGCAGUACAGUGGUUAGUGCUGUUGACUUGUAGAAAGAAGCCUCCAGGUUCAAGCCCUGGCCUUUCUGUGUGGAGUCUGCAUGUUCUCCCUGUGCCCAUGUGGGUUCUCUCCAGG